AGGUGGCGAAGUAAGUUGGUAGUGAAAGCGUUCGGCUCAACCGGAUAAACAUUACCAAAACUGCUUUAGCUAGAGGAUGAGAGAGGUUAUUGGAAUUCCCUGUGUAGGAGUGAAAUCCGUAGAUAUGGGGAGGAACACCGAUGGCGUAGGCAGAUAACUGGCUCAUUCCUGACACUAAGGCACGAAAGCGUGGGGAUCAAACAGGAUUAG
rnacentral:rRNA from 1 species